rnacentral:lncRNA from 1 species
CAGAGUGCUUCACGAUCCCAUCGUCGCCAAUCCAGUACCACUCGUAUGUAGUUCUUCUACAUACGAGCCUGCAAGAAUCAAGCACACCAUUUCAGUGGCCCGGAGGUCUUACGAAACUCUCAAAUCCCCAUACCUUUGCAUCUGGCUCCCCAGGAGAAUCAAAGCCAGAGCUCUUGAAAGUCGUGUUUUUCUUCCAGUGUCGGCGAGCUUGUGGGAGGGAGCCUUUUCCCGCCUCGCGCACUAGCAUGCCGCCAUCUGGCCAUCAUCGCUAUGAAACGCGUUUUGAUAGUCGCAUACAACGACGGGCCCUUGGAAGAGCUGCUCUGCGAGAUACCUGGAAUGAGAAGAUCACCAGAAAACGUUGAUUUUGGUUUCCCUCUAACACACCUUUGGUGCUUGCUCCAUUGCACAGGAGUUUCGAAGGGAAAGUCUUUCACGCAUAAGAUCACGCAAAGGAAAGAAUAAAUCUCGAUUGCUUGUGUGUAAGUUAUCCUUCCGAUUUGCAGGAAUGAGGAGCGGACGCCUUGUCAAGGAUGCGGUCGGUGAGCACAGAUCUCUGGGAGGAAAUCGUCUCCAGCGGCCUCGCUAAUCUCGUCAUGGAAAUGUAUGGAAAGUGCGGCUGCUGAUCGUGGCGUGAGCUUGCCGUAGACGUUGAGCAGCACUGUGGCGAUGGAGAUUCUGCGGUACUUGCUUGUGUGCCUCAGCUUUCAGCUUCCCAAGAUCCUGGGCGAAAGCUUGCAGGAGCUGGCUGGCAGAACCUCGUGGGAGACCAGUGGGGCAAAUGCGAGCUCAUUAUCUUAGGCCAGCGGCGACGAAUACCGCGUGGAUCUGAGGCGUUGAAUGAAGAAGCAUGAGUGCCACCGCUUCUCGCAUCGGGCAAAUGCCGCCGUCGCAAUGUUCCACGAGAAAACAUCUCAAUCUUCCAUCUUGUGGAAGGCUCCCAAGGCGUCUGCCGCUCUUCCAGGGGGUCCAAUUCAAGGACGCCGUCACCUGGAUGUCGGAGUUGGCACUCUGUCAAAGGGAUCAAAAGAGCAGUGAAAGGACACAAAGGCAGUGUAAAGAGAGAAAAGAGCUGCAAACCUGUUUGCGCGACAGGUGGAUUGACCAUAUACAUCAGAAAUACAAGAGUCCCAGCACCAAGCCGAGGUACGCAUAUACUUCCCUCGCAUUCAUGUGUUAACUUCCAUGAACACUACACAGGGUAGGAGCAGGCAAGACAAGAAGGCCAAAGACGAGGCACUCUUGCGUUUGGAGGCCGAGAAACUAGCCAGGGAGAAAGCCGAAGCGGCGGCCAAGCAAAGAGUGGAAAGGAUACAGAGGAAGUCCGAGGCGGACUUGCGGGCUCACAGGGACGAGAUACACAAGCUGGAGCAGGAAGUUUGCAAGCUCAAGCUCAGUGCUAGGGAGCUAAGCUUGUCAAUGGAUCUGAGCGAGCAGGACGCGGUGGCGAUGGUGUGGGGCUGACUGACUGGUUUGGCUUUCUUUGUAUAAUAGGGGACUAUGGAGUUAGCUUUGCAAACGAGUGCUAUGGUUGCUUCCUCGACGUUCUGGGAAGAGCGGGGCGUUUGGAAAUCGCCGAGGAUAUGAUUUGCAACAUGCCGUUCGAGCCGAGUGCCUGCAAAACGCACAGCGACAUCGCUCGAGCACUGCGGGUGACAAACUACAUCAACCAUUUCGCUCCAGACAAGAAGACGCAGUCGUGCAUGCUUCUGGCCAACACGUACGCUGCCUGGUGGCUAUGGACCCGUGCCAUCGGCCUUGCUACUCGGGCAGGAGACGAGAGAGCGCUCGAAGAGUUUUUCGAGGAACUUGAGCAAGAACAAGAAGCUAUUGAGAUAUCGUGACGAGUUUCACGACUUUUUCGUUUCAAACUGCGAGAAUCGCUGCUGUGCUCCAGAUUCUCUCGACAGCGUCGUCGAUCCGGGAGAGAAAAUUCUAAGACUUGGGAGAGAGAACAGCUUUCUCUUCUCAAAAGUUUUGCGCUGCCUAUUGUUUAUCUCCAGAAUCUAAUCACCUGGAAAACAAACUUAUUGUUUAUCGAGAUGGAACUAAAACUCGAGCCCUUUGUGCACUGCGAGCACGGGCACAAAGGCAGCGUUGAUCCGCUCCACAAGGAUAUUGUUCCAUAAGCGUGCUAACCAUGGAAGGCGCUGCUGGGCUCAGGCAAGCGAGCAAGACUAGAAUGGCUUCCAGGAACAAGCUCCAUUGUGCCCGAGUGGAGGGAAUCAAGGAGCGCAAGCCUCGCAGAGAGCCAAGCAGCACAGUGAUCUCUACGUUCCUUGCAGCUUGAUGGGCAUGUCUGGCUGCCUGGUUGAGGCGAGAAUGUAGUUGCCUGGAACGCUUGGAUCUUGGGCGUCACCUGGCGAAGAAUCCCUCGUGCUCUGGACGCAUUCGAGACCACGGAUGGAAUCCCUCUGUCGAUCGACACUGGACCGCAGGAAUCCCAGCGGGAAAUCGACACUCCAGGCCUACAUUCACAACCAGCAGCUUCACGAGGCCAAGCGCGUCUUGGAGUCCAUGCCCGGGAAGAAUGAAUGCGCUUCUUUCAGCAAAUGCCCAAAGCCGGCAAAUUCACGUAGCGAGGCUUGUUUUUUAUCGAAUUCCAGAGUGGCACGUAGUUUGCAUGAAUGCUAUUUGCGAAAGCUGGAAUGAUUAGCGAGGCUAGAAACCAAUUUGAAAACAUGCCUGAGAGACUCUGUGUCGUGGAAUGUGAUUCUCGAAGCAAAGAAGCUGUUGUCAGGAUGGAACGAGAUCAUGAUUCUCACACACAAAAAUACUGAGCAAUCCAGUUCUACGGAACUCUAUGAUCGCUGCGGAUGCAAGCACAAAAGUUCUUUGCGAGGAUGACGCAGAGAGAUUCCGUGUCAUGGGCAACACCUGUCAACUCUUUUGCGCAGCAUGGCUGCACUAAUCUUGCGAGAGGCAUAUAUGAGAGACUGCCACAGCACGAUGUUAUGGGGUGGACUGGAAUGCUCCGAGCAAAUGCCCAGUGCGGUGAAAUAUGUUUUUGACUCAAUCCCUCAAAGAAACCUUGUCUCCUUGCCAAUACACUUUGCAAUCAAGACAAUCUUGCAAAAGCUAAACGAGUGUUUUCCAUGUCGUCGAUGCUCUUGGGACCAACUCUGGGCAGGAGGAUACAUUUCAAAGGUGGCAACAUCUUGAUGUUUCUGGUGUUGGUUUAGGGUGAUUGGUAUCACAGGAUGGACGAUGAAAUUCAGGGGAAGAUAUGAACGUUGUGUGACUUAAUUGACUCCUGGAAGGAAUUUGAGGUGUUCCAGCACACCAAGCUCAACAGCAUCUAUAGAUGAAGUGGUUUUAGCAGCCAUGUAAUUCCUUUGCUUUUUCUUUGGCUAGGGUCUUGCAAAUCUGUAGCGGGGCCAUACAUAGACCACAGCAAGAUCAUCAAUCGUAAUCACUCUCUUGAUAUAUUAAUGUAUGAAUUACUGCAUUUAAACACUAAUGCAUUUAAGCCAGGCUGCUUUGGUGUUUCUACUUUUUGUGUUUGCCACUUUUCAGAAUGUGUUGUGUCUACCUCAGGCAGAAGGGGUAGUUGAUGCUAAUGUUGUCUUUGGAUGCUAAUGCUGUCAACAGAAUUCAGGAUUUGAUCUGUAUCCUACCAUUGGAGAUUAGGCUGUCUUUGAGGAUUUUCGGGAGAUUGAUGCUGACCAUGUUCAGGUCUUUGAGGAACUCUCCAAAGAUGUAUAAUCAAAUAGGCAAGAACAAAAGUAAUAACAACAACAAUAUCAACGUCAGUAUAGAUGAGGAAGUCAAGGAAAGAAAAUGUAUCAGCUGUCUGAAAAACUUGAAAGAACAAUAAUACGAUCAUUUCCUUAUUUGGAUGUAAACCUCUAGCAGAUCACAAACAAGUAACAACAUCAUGGUCACAAGUCCCGGUCAAUCCACUAUCCCGAAAAAGGACAAAUCAUUCUAUAUUAACAACAAUUAAGCAAAACUUUGUCAAGGAUAAUUAAUUAGCUUGAAUGAUAGU